rnacentral:lncRNA from 1 species
UCCCUCAGUCCCUUGGAUUAUAAACAAAAUGGGAAUGUUGGAAGAGAAAAGUCCCCUGAACUAUAAACAAGAACAGUCCCUUAUGAUCAACGAAAAAGUCCUUUGGACUAUAAACAAGAAAAGUCCGUUAAGAUCAACGAAAGUCCCUCCGUCCCUUGGACUAUAAACAAGAUAGGAAUGUUGGAAGAGAAAGUCCCCAGGACUACAAACAAAAAAAGACCUUUAGGAUCAAUGAAAAAGUCCCUUUUAAACAAGAAAAAGUCCGUAAAUAUCAACGAAAUUCCCAAGUCCCUUGGACUACAAACAAGAUUGGAAUAUUGGAAGAGAAAAGUCCUUUUGACUAUAUACAAGAAAAGUCCCUUGAGAUCAACGAAAGUCCCUCAGUCCCUUGGACUAUAAAAUAGAUGGAAAUGUGGGUAGAGAAAAGUCCCUUGGACUAUAAACAAGAAAGUCCCUUGGACUAUAAACGAGAUGGGAGUGUUGGAAGAGAAAUGCCCCCUGGACUAUAAACAAGAAAAGUCCCUUGGCGCAUAAACAAGAAAAGUCUCUUUAGAUCAACCAAAGUGCCUCGGUCCCUUUGGCUAUAAACAAGAUCAGAAUGUUGAAAGAGAAAAAUCCCUUUGACUAUGAACGAGAUAAAUCCCAUAAGAUCAACGGAAGUCCUUCGGUCCCUUGGACUAUUAACAAAAUGGGAAUGUUGGAAGAGAAAGUCCAUCUAGUCGUUUUAAUAUACUAACCUUGCAGGUAGUAUUUCCAACAUGAGGAAAAAGGUUAACUAUGGAUUAAGGUACAAACACGCCAUGGAUGAGGUAAUCCUAUUAUUGGAAUGCUAUUGUGUGUUGAUUUGUGUUGUAUACCUAAAUACCAUGUGGAUAUGUUGGUGGUAAAAACUGAAUAUAUUGGGUGGUAGUUUGAAACUGAUGUAAUUUUGCCUGUAUGUUAUGACGACAUGGAAAACAUAUCUUAAUGUGAUAUUGUUUGUUCUCUUAAUUUCGUAACUUACAUUACGAUUCUGCAAGCUCGAUUUAGAAUUAUAUGAUCAUUAGGGUUUUGGUUUGAAUCCAUUUACUGAUGAUUGAUAAAAAAAUUAAAAAUCAGGAUUGGGAGUUAGAUUUUGUUUAGUGGAAUGUAAAACCUAAGACCUAUGUUCCACCAUUUGGGGUAUUGUUUUAGAUUAGAAUAAACAAUAAAAGUCUCCCAGUCCCUUGGACUAUAAGCAAGAUGGUAAUAUGGGAAGAGAAAAGUCCCAUGGACUAUAAACAAGAAAUGUCCGUUGGACUAUAAACAAAAUAAGUCCCUUAAGAUCAAGGAAAGUCCCUCAGUCCCUUGGACUAUAUACAAGAUGGAAAUGUUGAAAGAGAAAAACCCCUUAGAAUAGAAACAAGAAAAAUCCCUUAAGAUAAACGAAAAAUUCCCUUAGACUAUAAACAAGAAAAGUCCCUUAUGAUCAACGAAAGUCCUUCAGUCCCUUGGACUAUAAACAAAAUGGGAAUGUUGGAAAAAAAAGUCCCCUGGAUUAUAAACAAGUACAGUCCCUUAUGAUCAACGAAAAAGUCCCUUGGACUAUAAACAAAAAAAGUCCCUUAAGAUCAACGAAAGUCCCUCGGUCCCUUGCACUAUAAACAAGAUGGGAAUGUUGGAAGAGAAAAGUCCCCUAGACUAUAAACAAAAAAAGUCCCUUAAGAUCAACGAAAAAGUCCCUUGGACUAUAAACAAGAAAAGUCCGUGAAGAUCAACGAAAGUCUUAGUCCCUUGGACUAUAAACAAGAUGGGAAUGUUGGAAGAGAAAAGUCCUUUGGACUUUAAACAAGAAAAGUCCCUUGAUAUCAAUGAAAGUCCCUCAGUCCCUUGGACUAUAAAAUAGAUGGAAAUGUGGGUAGAGAAAAGUUCCUUGGACUAUAAACAAGAAAAAUCCCUUGAGAUCAAAGAUAAAGUCCCUUGGACUAUAAACAAGAUUGGAGUGUUGGAAGAGAAAUGUCCCCUGGACUAUAAACAAUAAAAGUCCCUUGGACUAUAAACAAGAUAAGUAUCUUUAGAUCAACCAAAGUCCCUUAGUCCCUCGGGCUAUAAACAUUAUUGGAAUGUUGGAAGAGAAAAGUCCCUUUGACUAUGAAGGAGAUAUGUCCCGUAAGAUCAACGGAAGUCCCUCAUUUCUUUGGACUAUUAACAAGAUGUGAAUGUUGGAAGAGAAAGUCCAUCUAGUCGUUGUAAUAUACUAACCUUGCAGGUAAUAUUUCCAACAUGAGGAAAAAGGUUAGCUAUGGAAUAAGGUACAAACACGCCAUGCAUGAGGUAAUCCUACUAUUGGAAUGCCAUUCUGUGUUGAUUUGUGUUGUAUAGCUAAAUACCAUGUGGAUAUGUUGGUGGUAAAAACUGAAUAUAUUGGGUGGUAGUUUGAAACUCAUGUAAUUUUGCCUGUAUGUUAUGACGACUUGGAAAAUAUAUUUUAAUGUGAUAUUGUUUAUUCUCUUAAUUUCGUAACUUAUGUUACGAUUCUGCAAGCUCGAUUUAGAAUUAUAUUAUCAUUAGGGUUUUGGUUUGAAUCAAUUUACUGAGGAUUGAUAAAAAGAAAUUAAAAAUCAGGAUUGGGAGUUGGAUUUUGUUUAAGUGCAAUGUAAAACCUAAGACCUAUGUUCCACAAUUUGGCUUAUUGUUUUAGAUUAGAAUAAACAACGAAAGUUUCCCAGUCCCUUGGACUAUAAGCAAGAUGGUAAUAUGGGAAGAGAAAAUUCCCAUGGGCUAUAAACAAGAAAUGUCCGUUGGACUAUAAACAAAAAAAGUCCCUUGAGAUCAACGAAUGUCCCUCGGUCCCUUGGACUAUAAAUAUGAUGGGAAUGUUGGAAGAGAAAAUUCCCCGGACUAUAAACAAAAAAAGUCCGUGAAGAUCAAUGAAAGUCCCUAAGUCUCUUGGACUAUAAACAAGAUGGGAAUGUUGGAAGAGUAAAGUCCUUUGGACUAUAAACAAGAAAAGUGCCUUGAGAUCAACGAAAGUCCCUCAGUCUCUUGGACUAUAAAAUAGAUGGAAAUGUGGGUAGAGAAAAGUCCCUUGGACUAUAAAAAAAGAAAAGUCCAUCGAGAUCAACGAAAAAGUCCAUUGGAUUAUAAACAAGAUGGUUGGAAGAGAAAUGUCCCCUGGACUAUAAACAAGAAAAGUUCCUUGGACUAUAAAAAAGAAAAGUCUCUUUAGAUCAACCAAAGUCCUUCAGUCCCUCGGACUAUAAACAAGAUCGGAAUGUUGGAAGAGAAAAUUCCUUCUCACUUUGAACGAGAAAAGUCCUAUAAGAUCACCUCAGUCCCUCAGUCCCUUGGACUAUAAACAAGAUGGGAAUGUUGGAAGAGAAAGUCAAUCUGGUCGUUGUAAUAUACUAACCUUGCAGGUAAUAUUUCCAACAUGAGGGAAAAUGUUAGCUAUGGAAUAAAGUACAAACACGCAUGCAUGAGGUAAUAUCGUAUUUUUAUUUUAUUUUAUUCUCAUAUGGCUUACAUUGAAAACAAUGCAAUAUCUUGUUUGGGGGUGUCUGUUUGACUUUUAUUUUCAUGUGUUGUUUUGUAUGUUGCUGAAAAUAAUGUGUGAAUAUAUGCUAAUUAGUAUUUUACGAAUUAUCUAAAUCUUGUUCAUAAUAACAAAAUUUGUUCUUUGAAUUAGUGCUUUGUUUGGUAUAACCUUAUAAAAAAAUUGAACGAUGCAUUGGUGCAAUGAAUUGUUAGUGAAAUUAUCAUUUUUUUAAUCUCAAAAUUAUAGGGACUGAAGCAAUUAUGCAAAUUUGAUAUCAUCAUGAAUUUAAGUAUGAUGCAAAUUGGAGAAAUUUUUGUUUUAUGCGGGAAGUUUGUUCCAUUACUGUUAUUUCUGGUUUGUAAUUUCUUCUAUCUGCUUUCGAUUUUUCUGUUAUUUUCAUCCAAUCCAAAUGCUGACCAGAAACAUUAUGUGAGAUAUAUUUCAGCUAGUAAAUGUGUACAAGAAUGUGUUAUCUUGUUUAAACCCUGACUCUCAGAGAUAUUCCCUAAGCUGCAUGUUCGAGACUUAGAUUAAGGCUGGGAACUGUUGUAGCUUCACUCCAUAGCUUUUAAAUUAUUUGAAAUAUUAUUGAAGAGAAUAUCUGCUGGACUGUGGAUGGUUGAUUCUUGUGCUUAUGCGCUAAAUUGAAUUUAUGUUUGCUUGUUUUGAAAGUAUUCUUUUGGGUAUGUUAAUAAUUCUUCAAUUAUGUAUAUUUGUUAAUCAGCCAGCAAAAAAAAAGUUAGCAAUUAAUGCAUAUCUGUUUUUCUACCGUAUGUUUUUUUUUUGCUGCAGGAUUCGCUAGCAUAUUUUCGAAUAAAAGAGCUGAAGGAUGUUCUCACUCAAUUAGGUCUUGCAAAGCAAGGAAAAAAACAGGUAGGCAAGGAGAUUUCAUCGUAUUCGUAGCUAUUUAUAGCUGACUGGGGAUGCUUGCCUUUGAUUAAUUUUGAUGAGUUCAAGGGGUUUCUCAUGGAAAUCCGUUUGGUUGAAUUUCAAAAACCCUUAAGCAAGUUCUUGAUUCUGCAGCUUUCUUUUAAUAAUUGUGUGAAUGUUACAUAGAUUGAUACCUUUGCCGCCUCUUUAAUAAUGAAUAUCUCAUUUUACUUGUUAAAAAAAGGUUUCCACCUAUUUGAGUUUCAUUCUGAACAAGUGCCCGGCAGGAUAGAAGUCGAUGCUGACUACAUGGAACCUAUAAUUUAGAUCUCUUUGACUUAUGUAUUUGUUUUGCUUUAACUCACCUUCUUUUCUAUGUCCUACACGCUUUCAUGCAUAUUCAUCUUGUUCUUUUGUUAUUCAUCAGUUUAGGAUUCACUGGCUCGCGUUUCAUUGAGUUUUUUUAAGUGAUCAUAAUUUUCCUUCUGUUGGCAUCUAGUUGCUUAUUACUAUUAUUUUACCUUAGCUCUAUUGUCUGAAUAGAUGCAUGUAACAGGAAGUUCAUGUGGCUGUUAUUCAUUAGUCCCUUAUGUCUUUGUUUUGCCUAUUUGAGAUCUGAUAUCAGUACUUCUCUGAGUUUAUGUCGUGAUAGAUGCUCAAGUGUUAACAGCGGUCAUAUGGGUGGUGGAUAUCCAUGAUGUUUCCAUUUGAUGUAUACAGGAGACAAGUUUUGUGAUUAAAUUUACAUGUGUUAGUCUCACUUUUGUUAUAACUGUCUAUUGUUUCAAAUAAUGUGUUAUCUACUAUGUUAUUUAGACACGAAUUUCGGAGUUUCAUGUCUGCCAUUUUUAUACAUGUGAAUUGUCUCAGACGUUCACCUUUUUAGUUUGUUCUAAUAAAGGCCCACUUUGUUUCAUUUAUAUUUGUCAUUCACAAAACUAUCAGUCCUUACCCCAAGACCUCCCUGUUUUUCCAUCAUAUACCGGUUCACAAAUAUUCUACUGCCUCACUUGUUCAUCUCAGCUCAUGUUCUUCCAUACUGGUGUUAUUUUGUAACUUUUCGUUUGGCCCCUCUCAACCAAACGAAAUAAGUUUGUUAUUCUGUGCAUUUUAAUUUGUUAAUUACAUUUCUUAAUGAUCACUAGUUUUAUCAUCAUGUGUACUGCAAAAUGCUUUCAACAAGUGUAAAUGUUACACAUGUCCUUAUAGAGUUAUAGAUCUCACUAUGGAAACCAAUAAUUUGUUUACCCUAUACUAUGGUUUAGAGUUAAAAUAGUGGGUGAUAUUGUAUUUUUUUAAAAAUAAAUAAUAUAAUAUACAUUAAAGUGUUUGAAUAUACCUCACAAAGAGAAAGAAAAUUUCAAAGAGAGAAAAUUUCAAAGAAAUAAUCCGCUUUUUAGAAAACCGGACAUUUGUCCUUAUGAACUAUGUUUGGAAGUGGAACCAAUGGUAUUUCGUUGGGCGGGCUUUUUGAGUCUAUGGUAUGAGUCAUUCUCUUAGACUAGACCUUCGUAAUGUACAUAGUUGCUCAAACCCUAGUACUGAAAGUUUGACACUAUAUUGUCCACAUUCCCAAACACUCUUGAUCUGAGUUUUAUGUGUAAAGUUUGUAGAACUGCUAUUUCAAAUACAUGUUGAUUAUAUUUAUAAAUAUAUGAACAUUUUGAUGCAGGUUCACCAUCCCAUACACCAGACCUUCUACUUGACAAUGGAGCAUAAGAGGAAACUUAAAAGAAGAAUUUGGUUAGUUUAUUUAUAUUGGAGGCUUGAAGCUUUGUUGGCUGUAUUAUAUUUAAUGUUCUAAUAUAACACGCACGCACGCAUGAGGUAAUAUCCUAUUUUUAUUUUUUUUUAUCAUUUAUCUUAUGUUGAGGACAAUGCAAUAUCUUGUUUGAGGGUUGUUUGUUUGACUUUCAUUUUCAUUUGUUGUUUUGUAAGUUGUUGAAAAUAAUGUGCGACUAUAUGCUAUGUUGUCCAAUGAAGGUGCAAAUUUUAUUUUUGUUGCUAGAAUAAUGAAUACCAUGUGGAUAUGUUGGUGGUAAAAACUUAAUAUAUUGGGUGGUGGUUUGAAACUCAUGUAAUUUUGCCUGCAUGUUAUAACGACUUGGAAAACAUAUCAUAAUAUGAUAUUGUUUGUUCUCUUAAUUUCGUAACGUACGUUACGAUUCUGGAAGCUCGAUUUGGAAUUAUAUGAUCAUUACGGUUUUGGUUUGAAUCCAUUUACUUAAAAAUGAGGAUUGGGAGUUGGAUUUUGUUUAAGAGCAAUGUAAAACCUAAGACCUAUGUUCCAUAAUUUGGCAUAUUGUUUUAGAUUGGAAUAAACAACAAAAGUCCCUCAGUCCCUUCGACUAUAAACAAGAUGGUAAUAUGGGAAGAGAAAAUUCCCCUGGACUAUAAACAAGAAAAGCCCCUUAAGAUCAACGAAAGUCCCUCACUCCCUUGGACUAUAAACAAGAUGGGAAUGUUGGAAGAGAAAAGUCCCCUGGACUAUAAACACGAAAAAUCCCUUAAGAUAAACAAAAAAGUCCCUUGGAUUGUAAACAAGAAAUGACCCUUAAGAUCAAUGAAAGUCCUUCAGUCACUUGGAUCAUAAACAAAAUGGGAAUGUUGGAAGAGAAAAGUCCUCUGGACUAUAAACAAAAAAAGUCCCUUGAGAUCGAUGAAGGUCCCUCAGUCCCUUGGACUAUAAACAAGAUGAGAAUGUGGGUAGAGAAAAGUCCCUUGGGGUACCAAAAAAAAAAAAAAAAUGUCCCUUGGACUAUAAACAAGAAAAAUCCCUUGAGAUUACAGAAAAAGUCCUUUGGACUAUAAACAAGAUGGGAGUGUUGGAAUAGAAAUAUCCCCUGGACUACAAACAAAAAAAGACCCUUAAGAUCAGUGAAAAAGUCCCUCAGACUAUAAACAAGAAAAGUCCGUGAAGAUCAACGAAAGUCCCUAAGUCCCUUGGACUAUAAACAAGAUUGGAAUAUUGGAAGAGAAAAGUCUUUUGGUCUAUAUACAAGAAAAGUCCCUUGAGAUCAACGAAAGUCCCUCAGCCCAUUGGACUAUAAAAUAGAUGGAAAUGUGGGUAGAGAAAAGUCCCUUGGACUAUAUACAAGAAACGUCCCUUGAGAUCAACGAUAAAGUCCCUUGGACUAUAAACAAGAUGGGAGUGUUGGAAGAGAAAUGUCCCCUGGACUAUAAACAAGAAAAGUCCCUUGGCCUAUAAACAAGAAAAGUCUCUUGGCCUAUAAACAAGAAAAGUCUCUUUAGAUCAACCAAAGUCCCUCGGUCCCUUUGACUAUAAACAAGAUCAGAAUGUUGGAAGAGAAAAGUCCCUUUGACUAUGAACGAGAUAAAUCCCAUAAGAUCAACGGAAGUCCCUCGGUCCCUUGGACUAUUAACACAAUGGGAAUGUUGGAAGAGAAAGUCCAUCUAGUCGUUGUAAUAUACUAAUUGCAGGUAAUAUUUCCAACAUGAGGAAAAAGGUUAACUAUGGACUAAGGUACAAACACGCCAUGCAUGAGGUAAUCUUGUUAUUGGAAUGCCACUUUGUGUUGAUUUGUGUUGUAUAGCUAAAUACCAUGUGGAUAUGUUGGUGGUAAAAACUGAAUAUAUUGGGUGGUAGUUUGAAACUGAUGUAAAUUUGCCUGUAUGUUAUGACUACUUGGAAAACAUAUUUUAAUGUCAUAUUGUUUGCUCUCUUAAUUUCGUAACUUACAUUACGAUUCUGCAAGCUCGAUUUAGAAUUAUAUGAUAAUUAGGGUUUUGGUUUGAAUCCAUUUACUGAGGAUUGAUAAAAAAAAAUUAAAAAUCAGGAUUGGGAGUUAGAUUUUGUUUAGUGGAAUGUAAAACCUAAGACCUAUGUUCCGUAUUGUUUUAGAUUAGAAUAAACAAUAAAAGUCUCCUAAUCCCUUGGACUAUAAACAAGAUGGUAAUAUGGGAAGAGAAAAGUCCCAUAAGAUCAAUGAAAGUCCCUCAGUCCCUUGGACUAUAAACAAGAUGGAAAUGUUGAAAGAUAAAAACCCCUUAGACUAUAAACAAGAAAAAUCCCUUAAGAUAAAAGAAAAAGUCUCUUAGACUAUAAACAAGAAAAGUCCCUUAUGAUCAACAAAGUCCCUUAAGAUCAACGAAAGUCCCUCAGUCCCUUGGACUAUAAACAAAAUGGGAAUGUUGGAAGAGAAAAGUCCCCUAGACUAUAAACAAGAACAGUCUCUUAUGAUCAACGAAAAAGUCCUUUGGACUAUAAACAAGAAAAGUCCGUUAAGAUCAACGAAAGUCCCUCGGUCCCUUGGACUAUAAACAAGAUAGGAAUGUUGGAAGAGAAAAGUCCCCUGGACUACAAACAAAAAAGACCUUUAAGAUCAAUGAAAAAGUCCCUUAUAAACAAGAAAAGUCCGUGAAUAUCAACAAAAGUCCCUAAGUCCCUUGGACUAUAAACAAGAUUGGAAUGUUGGAAGAGAAAAGUCCUUUGGACUAUAUACAAGAAAAGUCCCUUGAGAUCAAAGAAAGUCCCUCAGUCCCUUGGACUAUAAACUAGAUGGAAAUGUGGGUAGAGAAAAGUCCCUUGGACUAUAAACAAGAAAAGUCCCUUGAGAUCAACGAUAAAGUCCCUUGGACUAUAAACAAGAUGGGAGUGUUGGAAGAGAAAUGUCC